GGGGACUCUAGGGAGACUGCCGGCGUAAGCCGCGAGGAAGGUGGGGACGACGUCAAGUCAUCAUGGCCUUUAUGCCCAGGGCUACACACGUGCUACAAUGGCGCAUACAGAGGGUUGCGAAACUGUGAAGUGGAGCUAAUCUCAUAAAGUGCGUCCCAGUUCGGAUUGGAGUCUGGAACUCGACUCCAUGAAGGUGGAAUCGCUAGUAAUCGCGCAUCAGCCAUGGCGCGGUGAAUACGUUCCCGGACCUUGUACACACCGCCCGU
rnacentral:rRNA from 1 species